UUAAGUUCAGCGGGUAUCCCUACCUGAUCCGAGGUCAACCUUGUAAAAAAAGAUUCUCCCUGAGGGGAGGCAGACCGUGCCCCGUGCACCCUUACUCCAGUACGUGUCCCGUAAAGAACUCAGUGUACCGGGGGUCCAACGAGGCCGCCGUCAUUGUCUUUGGGAGGGGCAAGGGCCCCGGAGGGCCUCCGCCAAACCGU
rnacentral:misc_RNA from 1 species